UUCCCCAUUCUGACGAAGAUGACGGGAAUCGUGGGCGGGAGAAGCUGCCAAGUUUCCUGAGCCCCGGGGUCCUUCCCAGCUCCUCUGCGUUCGGGGAGGCCAGGAGGCAGACGUCCACGCUGUAAUUCUGUGAGCGAAGACCUACAUUUAAAACAGGAGAGAGGCAGCUGAUGAGAACCACAUGGGCGCCUCGGCUCUGCGCUACACCUGUUAGUCUUGCAUUUGUCAUGCUUCUGGGAAGCAUUUUUAUUUGCAAAAAACGGCUGCUUCCCCACGUGGUUGUGGUUGCCUGCUCCUGUACGUGUGAAAAGUUUUACAUCACACUUGUAGGAGAAAAUAAAUAUGGGCAAAUUACCUCCCUUUAUUCACUCUCC